GGGGGCGUAGUUCAGCUGGUUAGAAUACAUGCCUGUCACGCAUGGGGUCGCGGGUUCGAGCCCCGUCGCUCCCGCCA
rnacentral:tRNA from 2 species